AGCCUCGUAGUGCAGUGGUCAAGCAUCCGACCCUCUGGCGGUUGGGACCUAGGUUCGAAUCCUGGCGGGGCUA
rnacentral:tRNA from 1 species